rnacentral:pre_miRNA from 1 species
UACUAAAUGUUUCGCUACUGAAGUUUGGAUGUCAGCUUAUAUGCAUUGAUAUAUCAAUGCAUAUAAGCUGACAUCCAAACUUCAGUAGCGAAACAU